rnacentral:rRNA from 1 species
GUUGUAUGGUUAAGUGACUAAGCGUACACGGUGGAUGCCUUGGCAGUCAGAGGCGAUGAAAGACGUAGUAACUUGCGAUAAGCCCAGAUUAGGUAGUAACAACCAUUUGAGUCUGGGAUUUCUGAAUGGGGAAACCCACGUGCAUAAGCACGUAUCCUUACCUGAAUACAUAGGGUAAGGAGGCGAACCGGGGGAACUGAAACAUCUAAGUACCCCGAGGAAAAGAAAUCAACCGAGAUUCCGAAAGUAGCGGCGAGCGAAAUUGGACUAGCCCUUAAGCUUUACACGCGUUAGACGAACGGUCUGGAAAGUCCGACGAUACAGGGUGAUAGUCCCGUAGUUGACGACGUGUGUUCAGUGAAAUCGAGUAGGGCGGGACACGUGAUAUCCUGUCUGAAUAUGGGGGGACCAUCCUCCAAGGCUAAAUACUACUGACUGACCGAUAGUGAACCAGUACCGUGAGGGAAAGGCGAAAAGAACCCCUGUGAGGGGAGUGAAAUAGAACCUGAAACCGUGUACGUACAAGCAGUAGGAGCAGGCUUUGUCCUGUGACUGCGUACCUUUUGUAUAAUGGGUCAGCGACUUAUAUUCAGUGGCAAGGUUAACCAUCUAGGGGAGCCGUAGGGAAACCGAGUCUUAACUGGGCGUUCAGUCUCUGGAUAUAGACCCGAAACCAGGUGAUCUAGCCAUGGGCAGGUUGAAGGUUGAGUAACAUCAACUGGAGGACCGAACCGACUAAUGUUGAAAAAUUAGCGGAUGACUUGUGGCUAGGGGUGAAAGGCCAAUCAAACCUGGAGAUAGCUGGUUCUCCCCGAAAGCUAUUUAGGUAGCGCCUCGGACGAAUACUACUGGGGGUAGAGCACUGUUAAGGCUAGGGGGUCAUCCCGACUUACCAACCCUUUGCAAACUCCGAAUACCAGUAAGUACUAUCCGGGAGACACACGGCGGGUGCUAACGUCCGUCGUGGAGAGGGAAACAACCCAGACCGCCAGCUAAGGUCCCAAAUUACUACUAAGUGGGAAACGAUGUGGGAAGGCUCAGACAGCCAGGAUGUUGGCUUAGAAGCAGCCAUCAUUUAAAGAAAGCGUAAUAGCUCACUGGUCGAGUCGGCCUGCGCGGAAGAUGUAACGGGGCUAAGUAGUAAACCGAAGCUGCGGCAAUAUACUUUUGUAUAUUGGGUAGGGGAGCGUUCUGUAAGCGGUUGAAGGUGUGUGGUAACGCAUGCUGGACGUAUCAGAAGUGCGAAUGCUGACAUGAGUAACGAUAAAGGGGGUGAAAAACCUCCUCGCCGGAAGACCAAGGGUUCCUGUCCAACGUUAAUCGGGGCAGGGUAAGUCGACCCCUAAGGCGAGGCCGAAAGGCGUAGUCGAUGGGAAACGGGUUAAUAUUCCCGUACUUCUUACAAUUGCGAUGGGGGGACGGAGAAGGCUAGGUGGGCCUGGCGACGGUUGUCCAGGUUCAAGUGCGUAGGCUUAAGAGUUAGGUAAAUCCGGCUCUUUUUAAGGCUGAGACACGACGUCGAGCACCUACGGGUGUGAAGUCAUUGAUGCCAUGCUUCCAGGAAAAGCCUCUAAGCUUCAGAUUGUAAGGAAUCGUACCCCAAACCGACACAGGUGGUCGGGUAGAGAAUACCAAGGCGCUUGAGAGAACUCGGGUGAAGGAACUAGGCAAAAUGGUACCGUAACUUCGGGAGAAGGUACGCUCUCGACGGUGAAGUCCCUUGCGGAUGGAGCUAUUGAGAGUCGCAGAUACCAGGUGGCUGCAACUGUUUAUUAAAAACACAGCACUGUGCAAAAUCGUAAGAUGACGUAUACGGUGUGACGCCUGCCCGGUGCCGGAAGGUUAAUUGAUGGGGUUAGACUUCGGUCGAAGCUCUUGAUCGAAGCCCCGGUAAACGGCGGCCGUAACUAUAACGGUCCUAAGGUAGCGAAAUUCCUUGUCGGGUAAGUUCCGACCUGCACGAAUGGCGUAAUGAUGGCCACGCUGUCUCCACCCGAGACUCAGUGAAAUUGAAAUCGCUGUGAAGAUGCAGUGUACCCGCGGCUAGACGGAAAGACCCCGUGAACCUUUACUACAGCUUGGCACUGAACAUUGACCCUACAUGUGUAGGAUAGGUGGGAGGCUUUGAAGCA